UCCGUAGGUGAACCUGCGGAAGGAUCAUUUAUGAAAUUCAAGGACGCUCUUUUUUGAGGUCCGACCAAUUACAUUUUUCCUUUUCUCUGUGCACACACUACUCUUUUCACCAUUUUUUUACUCUAUAGUUUUUAGAAUGUAAAACAAGUCUCGAAAGAGCAACAUAACAAAACAAAACUUUCGGCAACGGAUCUCUUGGCUCUCGCAUCGAUGAAGAACGCAGCGAAAUGCGAUACGUAAUGUGAAUUGCAGAAUUCAGUGAAUCAUCGAAUCUUUGAACGCACCUUGCACUCUUUGGUAUUCCGAAGAGUAUGUCUGUUUGAGUGUCAUGAAACUCUCAACCCCCUCAUUUUGUAAUGAAGUGAGUCGUGGGCUUGGAUUUUGGCUGUCUGUCGGCUUCAUUGCCGGCUCAGCUGAAAUACACGAGUAACCCAGUUUGAAAAACUGACGGCUUGACUCGGCGUAAUAAUUUUUUUCGCUGAGGACGUCUAACCUUCAAAUCGUUUGUGGUGCUUCUAAUGCAAAUCAUUUUUAGAUUUUGACCUCAAAUCAGUCAGGAUUACCCGCUGAACUUUAGCAUAUCAAUAAGCGGAGGAAAAG
rnacentral:rRNA from 1 species